rnacentral:misc_RNA from 1 species
AACGCACCUUGCGCUCCUUGGUAUUCCGAGGAGCAUGCCUGUUUGAGUGUCAUGAAAAAUGUUCAGAGAAACCCUUUUUGGCUUUUUUUGUAUUAAGCUUUAGAAUCGUUUCUUGGAUACGUGGAGGGCUGCUGAGGACAUCUUUUCUCAGCUCCUCUGAAAUGCAUUAGCAAAAAUUGUUUGCUGGUCUGUUCUCUGGUAUGAUAAUUAUCUAUAUCAGUUGAAUUCCCAAAAAGAACUUUUUGCUUCCAAACCGUCUUUGUCAAAGACAGCAAGAAAAUACAAUUUUGACCUCAAAUCAGGUAGGACUACCCGCUGAACUUAA